rnacentral:lncRNA from 1 species
UUCCGAUCAAGUUUUGAGGUAGUAAACGACCUCGGAUUGCAACAAUUCCAAUAGAAAAGUUAUUCGUCUCGAACAAAUGAAGAACUUUCAUAUUUACAACUUUUCCAUCCGAGUAGAUCUUAAUGACCAUUUCUCUCUGUUUUUAACUUCGGUUCUCAGCACCAGAACUUCUGACCGAACCUCCGGGUGAACCUCCGGGUGCUCUCUGUUACUCUUCCAAGAAUAUGCGGAACUUCCGGCUGAUCAUCCAGAACUUCUGGUGGAUUUUUAUUUGUAAGCCAAAAUUGGUUGUGAACACUAGAAUGGGAGUAAAAGUUGUUGAUAUAGCAGCCAAAAGUUGGUAGUACUAGUGAGUCAAAGUUGCCGGUAUAAUAGCCAAAGUUGCUAAUAUAAGAGUCAAAGUUGCCGAUUUAGAAACUAAAGUUGCUAUUAUGUGAGUCAAGGUUGCUAGUCUGCGAAAAAUUGUUGAUAUAGCACCCAAAGUUGUUGUUAUGUGAACAGUUUCAUUUAUAACAGCCAAAGUUGCUAUUAUGUGAAAAGUUGCUGGUAUAGCAGCCAAAACGCCUAAUAUGAGAGUCAAAGUUACCGGUAUAGGAGACGAAAUUGUUAGUAUAUAAAACAAUGUUGCUACUAUGAACAUGAGAGUUGCUAGAGUAGCGACCAAAUUUGCUAGUAUAUCAGUCAAAGUUGACGAUAUAAAAUCAAAGAUUGUUAAUAUGUGAGUCAAACUUGCCGGUAUAGCGACCAAUGUGGAUAGUAGGGAGUCAAAGUUGUUAGUACAUGAGUCAAAAUUAUUGGUAUAGCGGCCAAAGUUGCUAAAGUGAGAAGCAAAGUUGCAUUGUUUAUCAGAAAAGUUGCCUUUUGAGAAUAUUUUGGCAAAAUAUAGCCAAAUAGGAUCUAGUUUUGAAGAUUUCGUCGCAAGAGGGCCAACGGUGAAAACCGAUCAUAAUUCCGACACUCGAUUUGAAAGUUAUGACAUUUAAAAAGUAAAUAAGGAGAAAGCUAAUUGCAUGUGGUUUAGUCUCAAUAUUCAUGCACCCAUCCAUGCAGGCGUACGAGCUAUCCAGAAAACGCGUUGCGAUUAAAUGACGGGGGCCACAUAUUAAUCACGAGACAAUGGUAACCUGCCAAAACUGUACGUGCUGGGUUUCCAUAUCGGCCGGUUAGCUUAUCCAGACAACGGCCGCCGAGUAGUCGUGUCCCUUUUUUUUUCCUUUCCCGAAGCGAAAAGGAAGAAGAAAAAGAAGGGUGACGUCGGCGAAAAGCGGCUCGCCGCCCAUGGUAGACUCGUCAACUGCUACGGGUCUCGUCUACUUGCCAUUGCCAACCGUAUUUUGGUUGCAAGGCCAAACAAGUGCCUUGUGUUUUCUUUCGAUAUCAACCCAACACAUUUUGUUUUGGCUAAUGAAUUCAAUAUGUUCUGUGCCGGCAAAUGGUUAUAUAAAUAUGUAAAUAUCCUUUUUUGAGGACACAACAGUUGGGUCCGAAAACAAUACAAAACAAACGAGAUAUUUACAUAUUUGUUUUGUAUGAAAGGUUGUACGUGGCUAAAAAUAUACGUAUUCUCAGUAGAAUUGACGAGGGGUUAUACCGAUUUAGAUGUGUUGUAGUAAAAUAAAACCCUUAUAUGGGCCGGGCUGUAAAUCCUACGUGGCGAUGACUAAGUCAACAUUUCCCAAGCGUGAGUGAAGAUGCCCACGUGGCGCAGUCAAUCCUACGUGGCAAAGGAAGACAAUUCAACAAGUCAAGCCUCUCAUGCCAUGGUCAAAGGGUGAAAUGAGGUAGAGUAGGGGGCAAGAAAGGUGUGGGAUGAGGCUUUUGGUCCAUGGUGGACCAUGGACCAACCCUCACUUUCCUCCACAUGGUGCACACAAAAGCUAUGGACCAAGGAGCUACUUUUACCAUUUUGCCCCCACUUUUCUCUCUCCCUCAAGGGUAGCCAUGAUCUUUUGUUGUGGACCCCUAGGCUAUAAAUACCCCCCCAUGGGGGCAUGUAUCACUCACUCUCAACUUGAAUCAACUCAAGGGGAGAGGGCUAGAGUGCUCCCUCUAACGUUCGCUCUCGAGCACCGUCUUCGACUAAAAGUCGACCGGCCUCGAGAAAGCCUUGUAGGGGACUCUAGUUUCGAGGCUCCGAGCUAACCUUGGUUAGCACGGGCUCGAAGGAGAAGGGGUUGGGUUAGAGUUCCGAGGGUAUCCUAACCUCGAUACUUGGAAAGACGCGUUCGGUCCAAGUACGAGGCGGCUCCGACGAAUCUCUCGCUAAAGGUGCCUUGGGAAGAUCCGCUCGGCCCAAGCACUUGGCUAACAACCCCCUCGAAAUCUUUCCUAACAUAGGAUUAAGUCGUACCCGCAGGAUCGACCAAACCUAUUCAAAAAAUAUCAACGUGUCAACUUGUCCAAGUGUAUAGCGACCUUCGCUAUAAGGCCGGCGUACACACCCUACUUUUAUACCCGCACUUGUGCCAUUGAGCAUUGGCACCCCUUACUCUAAUUGUUGUCGAGAACAACAACAGUGGCGCCGACCGUGGGGAACCCUCGUCGCAAUUGAAGAUUGAAUGGCCCCGACGAAGCCUACUUCAUUGGGUGCCCAACUUGUCACAAAGUCUACACGGUUGCAAACAAAGAAAGCAAGCGCCCCGGGGGCUCCCGAGAAAGAAGGAAUCCACACCAAUCCGGACAUCGCCGCAAGCAUGGUCGCUACGACGGAAGUCGUGGUCACACCUCCGCUCCCGGCCGUCCCAGAAGGAACCGAGGUGCUCGAAACCAUCAUAGGCGGUCCCUCGAUACUCACCGACGUGGUGGCAAGGAUCGGCGAACUGCCUACGGUUGCCGCCCCCGCAGGGGAUAUGGAAUUUGGCAUGCCUCGCUCGAUGGGCUUCGCGCCACCUUCCCUACAACCGGUAGUGACCUUGCCCUCGGAACCUACGAGAGGAAACAAUGUGGCGUCAGGAGGAUCCGCUUCAGGAAACCAAGGAGUCCUGGCUGAAGGGGAACAUAGGCAGAAAUUUAAAAUUUUCCUACGAACGAACCAACCAAGAUCACUAUGCGGAUGCGAUAAAUUGAUCACGUACCAACAACCGUAGCAGAAGUAGAUUGUCGUUGAAGCCUACAGCAGAUUCUCGCCGCUAGGUUAUACCUCCUAGCCGCGAGAAUAUUCCUCGCAGGAUCUGCUGCGCCUGAAAGCUUGAAGUAGAUGAACAGCGAUCCGCCCGCAAGAUCGAAGUAUACGAUCUCUCCACACGUAUCCACACGUCCCGAAGGAAUAGUUCAGCAGCACUUCGACGUCCAGUACGAAUAACUGCUGGAAGAAACUAGAUCGGAAAGUAGACGAUCUACUAAUUAGACAUCUAAACUUUAGACGUCUAAACAUUAGAGGAGAGAGCUCGGACUUUACGAGCAAUGGACAACUAGCGAGAGUGCUCCUAUAGCCGGCCACCCCUCCCCUCUUUAUAUACGAGGGUGGCGGCCAAAGGGGAAAAGGAGUCCUCCUCCAAAAGGAGUAGGACUCCUACUUCUAAUAGGAAUAGAUAUGGACUCCUAAUAGGAGUCUUAUAUCCCCUUCUCCAAACCAAGAUGGCCGGCCCCCAUGGUCAACCUUUGAAGCGACCGCCCCCGUACAGGGUUCGAUCUCUGUGCUUACUGUGCUAGUCCCUGGAUCGACUCACUAGCACACACAGUUCCAAGAUGUAAUAUCAUGAUACAAAGGUCAAAGUAUUUUAUUACAUCGCAUCAUCCAGAACUUAAUUGUACUUACAAACUUGCAUGACCCUCGGGUCAGCAUAACAAAAUACUGUUUCAACAUAUCAAAAUAGUGUUUCAUAAACUUGCAGCGGAAAGGUAGAGCAAAUGGGCCACAACUACUCCCAAAGGAGAGAGCAUGUUGGAAUGUAAGCACAUGACCCAAAGAACAUCGACGAAUCUCUCUCUUCGUCAGAUUCACCUGCAUUAUUAAUUGCAGCCACUACGUGGUCAAUACAUUGACUGUAUUGGCAAGUUCACCUGAAAGUUAUAACAGACCUAACAAUAUACAUGCAGUAUAUGGCAAGGUGGGUUCGGCUAUUUGCAUAAAAUCAACAAUGUUUCAUCUUAUCAUUUUUAACCAAAAGUUUUAUCUCUAUUGGACAAGGGGUAGACACACCCAUGCUUCUAUUAACCUAGGCACAUUGAGUAGACACAUCAAUGCUCCUACCCAAGUUCAAACCAUACAUUUUAUUAAGAAAUUGGAAUGAGUGAGACCUUCCUUACAGCCCCCAAAUCUAGUUGCUCAUAAUUGUCCGUAACGGGGGACACGACUAAGUACUUAGUUUGAUACUCUCGAGAGGUUGUACACAUUCCACACAAGAAUUCGACGUGUUAAUCCCUUGUUGUCCUCAGGGUAGUGUAGCAACGGCAUCGACUUCAAGAAUUUUCAGAACAUAAUCCCCAGACCACCUGAGGGACCCGCGCUCCCACCUACACAGCUACCUCAUUACAAUCCCUUGGAUCUGGGUUCAUAUUUCUUACUCCAUCCAGCCAGAGCCCAUAUCAGCAUGUGGUUGUACUAGAAGCUACUAAACAGGAAACUAGACUAGUCUCUGGUUACCCCGGGUGGCAUUCCACAUUUGCGACGCAAGCGCUCCCCGAAUCCACGGGGAGAUGUCCAUGGACGGUCCAUCCCCGAAUCCACGGGGACUCGACUCAGAGGGACCCAUAGAAAUGGACCUGACCUCACAUAACAUCUCGAAUACUCAAAGCAGUCCACACAGGACGGUUCAUUGAAUUACUUGUUUUGCCAUACACUAGAAAAAUCAUACUUUACUCCAGAAUGACAAUAAUAUCACAUUGUAAUAAUACCACCCUCGUAUACUAUCAUAGCAUAGCAUUGGACUACCUACGAUGGUAACUAGUGGUAAGGACAUGGCAAGGGUAUCCUAUACUACUAGGAGAAUCAUAGCUAGCAUAGGUACAAUAAUAAUCCUAACAAUGCAACUAAUAAAAACUAGUGCAUAAUAAAAUAAUGGGAUGAUGGUCAAAGUGAACUUGCCUUGGUAGCAGUUGGUAAUCAAGCACUCGUCACAGUCACAAGGUUCGCUCUCCGAGUAAACUAAAAUAAACAAGCAUACACAUACGUAAACACACAACUCACAUCACGACAAAAGAAGGUAUGCUAUAAUGCAAUGCAAAACAUGUGACAUGAUAGGCUUCAUUUUAUUUGAGUGGUCAACCAUAUCAUAAACCUAGUCCAAAGUAUCAGCCAUUAAAAAUUAAUGCACGAGGUUAAAAACAAAAUACGAAAGAAAACAAGGGAUUAAAACCCUAAAACAAGGUUUUAUUGGCAUCAGCCAAUUAAUUUAAUUCAAAAAAUUUAUUUCUCUGUCCCAAUGAAUAGAGGACAAUAAAACAAAUUUUUGGGCACUGGUUUCAAUUAGGAAGGAUUUCCAAAUAAAAAGAUAUGAUUUAAAUGGCAUUAAAGGCCUUUCUGUAAAUUGACUGUGGUUAAGUUAUUCAAAUGUAAUUUCAACUAUGCUAAAAUAUUCUAUAGGUCACGAGCUUUCCAGAAAGGUAAAAUUUAUCAAAUUUGGCCCAGUGGUUUAAAAGAUAUGAGCAUUUGAAGUUCUAGGGGCUUUUCUGGAAAACUAUCAUUUAAUUUAAACUGGGAUUAAGUUUUCAUUUUAAUAGGGGCCACGUGUCGCGCUGUGAUUGGCUGGUACCGUUUCGGGAUUUAAAAUAAAACGCAGCUGUUUGAUCUCACUUAAACGGUCGGACUGCUGAGAUCUAACCGUACCCCUUCGAUUUAAAAAAUGUAAUCCUAACCAUUGAUGAAGAUCGGACGGACGAGAUCGAUCAUGGGGCUUACCGGCGGCGCUAGGUUUCCGACGAGGGUUCCGACGAGCUCGGGGACGCCGCGGCAAGCUUUUCUGGAGGAGUUUCGGCUCGGGGAAGCGUGCGGGAGGCGCGGCUCAACGAGGCGGAGCGGAUGACGGCGUCGGUUCGCUUCGGGGCGGCCGGAGGUGAUGCCUAGGACGGCGGAGACGCGGCGGCGGCGUAGCCUCGAGAUGACGUCGUCGACGAGCUGCGGUGCAACAAACGGAGAUUGGAGCGUGUCAAAAGAUGCACGAGGGAGAGGGGAAGACAAAGGAACAAGCGGCGACGAGCUUCACUCACCAGGUCACCGGCGGCGAGCUCGUUUAGGUGGUGGCAGUGGCGAACUCCGGCUUGAAAUCGGGGCAGCGUGGGCGCGUAAUUGACGAAGAGGGGAGGGGGAAAAGGAUGCGCAAGCUUCGGGCUUUAUAGGGACGCGGGCAGCAGGGCGGGGGGUGCACGGAGGAGACGGCGCGGCGAAGAUUUGGCCGGCGGUGGCGACGCGGACGCGGCGGCGUGACGCGCGGCUCUUUCCUUCGGGGAAGACGACCCCGACAGGUGGGGCCCACCUGUCGGUGGCUCGUGCGGGCGCGUGCGCUGCGGGCCGGCUCGGUCGGUUCGCGCGGUACUAGGCCGGUUCGGCCUAAAAUGGCCGGGCCGGUCCGGUUUUCUCCUUUCUUUUGUUCUUUUCUUUUUUUUCUUUUUCUGAUUUCUUUGAUAUCUUUUGGUUUUGAAGUCCAAAUUGAUCCAAAUAAAUUCCAGAAAAUUUGUAAAAUCAUGUUAUAACAUGACUCAACUUUUGGGACUAAUUUCCCUUCCAAAUAAAAUAUAUAAAAAUACAUUUGCCCUAUAAAUGUCUUUAGGGCUUUGUAACUAUUUAACUAAAAAAGUUUUUUCAACUCCAAAAAAAUAUCCAAAAAUUAUGGGAUAGCUUAUUUAUGCAAUAAACCCAUUUUAUAGAUAAACACUAAUGGUCUAAAGAUCCAAAGCUCAAAUGGGUGAAAUACUAGGGUUUUAAAAUGAAAUAAAACCUUUUCAAAGCCUUUUGUAAUUCAAAUUUUGAUUCAAACAUGCAAAUGUGGCAUGAUGCUCAUGAAUGCAAUGCAUAUGAAAGAGUUUGAAUUUCUAGGAUGUUACAACCUUUGACCAGGGUUUGACCCACCUUUGACUUUUGACUUUUUGCCAUUUGACAUUCCGGAAUUUCCAUCGGAUCCUUCUAAAUGCUUCUAAAACCUUCCGGAAGCACUCGUGAUUACUCCGAACAAUUCUAUAACUCCUAAAUCACAUUUAGGACCUCCAGAAAAUAUGUCUCAUCAUUCUGAACAACUUCAGUAUUCAACUCUCGACCAAAUUCCAAACUCUAGACCUUGAAAUAACCAUUCGUCUUUAAGCGUGUGACCGCGUAGAUUCGGAAAUGUGUAGAUAUGACCCAGUCAAUAAUUAUUUAAAGAGCCUGGACGCUCUCAAUAAUUAGUACACAUCCACGAAGACUUUCGAGCGAACCAUUUAUUACUAAAAACCAUUUCCCUUUGCUUCGCGAUAUGUUUACAAAACCCGGGGUGAGACUUCCGGUAUGCCCGUGAACCAACCCUUGUUCCACUUGUACCUAGUUAUCCCCGUUACCGGUUUUGUACUUUUAACUCGUUCCGUACUCCGAUAUCUCAAUGAUCAUAUCAUUGUUGUGUCUGGCCAGACGGUGAUAGAUAUCGUCAUACCGAGUGGACCCUAAGUGUAUCUCUCCACCGAUAGAGGAGCAAAUCCCAAUCUUGAACUAUCGAGUCAAUUCAUACUUUCUGGAGUAUCUGGAAAUCACCGUCAUGAUAACCCUAUUACAGGAAAGAAUAGGUAACACCAAAGUAUCCUUCCGAUAUACAUAUCAUACAGUAUUCUCAUGGUCUAAGGAUAAUGAUAAUUACAACAAUAACAAUAAUACCGAUAACAAGUAAUCGAUGUGAUCUCUCGGUAUAUUAUUAGUUGGGUCAGUCCAACACCAUUGUUCAAUCAAUGUGCUCUCAUAUAUAACCAGCAUCAUAUGCUCAUGAUCAGGAAAACAGAAUCAUCAAUUAUAUAUAAGCUAGUCAAAGAGGUGUGACUAGGGACCUUUAAAUUAGGGUUUAUGUUUCCACACAUGCAAAUGAGUUUUCCUCUGAAUCUCACAGUCAAGAACCAUUGCAAUUAUAGCAUAGAAAUAUAAACAUCAAUUACAAACUUGGGAAUAUAAUAAUACAAUAUUAUUGCCUCUAGGGCAUAUUCCCUUCAGAUUCCCACUUGCACUAGAGUCAAUAAUCUAGUUUUACAUAAGUUCUCUUACACCAAUGGCAUCCCGGUGUUGCUCAUGUUUCCCUCGUGGUAGAGGCUUCGUCAUCGGAUCUGACACAUUCAGGUCCGUGUGAAUUUUGCAUAACUUAAUAUCUCCGCGGUCAACUAAAUCCCGGAUUAUGUGAUAACGGCAUUCAAUAUGCUUGGACUUUUGGUGAGACCUUGGUUCUUUUGCUUGGGCCACGGCGCCACUAUUGUCACAUUGCAACUCCAUAGGAUCCAAUGCUGUGGGAACCACACCCAGUUCAGUGACGAACUUCUUAAUCCAAUAACCUUCCUUUGCCGCUACAGAAGCAGCCAUAUAUUCAGCCUCCGUUGUAGAAUCCGCCACAGUAUUCUGCUUAGAAUUCUUCCAGCUUGCUGCACCACCAUUGAGUGUGAAAACAAAGCCCGAUUAAGAUCUGAGGUUGUCUGGAUCCGUCAUGAAACCAUCAUCAAUGUAACCCCUUACAACGAGCUCGGCAUGACCUCCAUACACCAGGAACAUUUCCUUGGUCCUGUUAAGUUACUUCAGAAUACUUUUAACAGCGCUCCAGUGCUCCUUGCAUGGAUUGCUUUGAUGUCUGCUCGUAACACUUAGAGCAAACGAUACGUCUGGUCUUGUACAUAUCAUGGCAUACAUUAUAGAACCAAUUGCCGAGGCAUAUGGAACUUUCAUCAUACGUGCUCGCUCAUCAAUGUCGACAGGACACUAAGUCUUCCUUAAUGUCACGGCAUGCGCAGCCGGUAAGAACCCUUUCUUGGCGCUUUCCAUACUAAACCGUUUUAGUACUUUAUUUAUGUACGUGCUCUGGCUAAGCCCUAUCAGGCGUCUCGAUCUAUCCCUAUAGAUCUUGGUACCUAAUAUGUAUGCUGCUUCGCCUAAGUCUUUCAAUGACUCCUUAAUUGUGUUAAGAAAUUGAAUAUCAUUUCCAAUCAACAAUAUGUCGUCCACAUAUAAUAUUAGAAAUGCAAUUGAGCUCCCACUUACUUGUAAACACAAGCCUCUUCGUAAUUCUUGAUGAAACCAAACCCUUUGACCUCUUCAUCAAAACGAAGAUUCCAGCUCCUCGAUGGUUGCUUUAAUCCAUAAAUAGAUCUCUGAUUGCUAAACCGUCUCUGCGCAGCCAUCCACCACAACUUCUUGUGCAUGAAGAUUCCGGGCCCAAAGGGCGUGAUAACGGUCCGCGGUGAACAAUCUUCCAGUAGGAAGACGCUCUACCGCCAUGAGACCAAGUGCGCCGAGAAGGGAGAGUCAUCCAAGAGUAUCAACAUGCUUUCGAACGCGGGAGCAUCUGAAACUGAUCACCCGGAGCGCUACAUCCCUAAGACCUUCCCCGAAGGAGAACUCAAGGAAGUACGCAUCUCCCAAGAUGACGCCACGCGCACGGUCAAGAUUGGAGCCGACCUCCCGAGUAAACUCGAGGAAGAACUCAUUGACCUACUUCGAAAGAAUUCCGAUCUCUUCGCAUGGUCACCUUCCAACAUGGGAGGAGUCCCGCGUGACGUCAUGGAGCAUCGCAUCGCCGUGAGGCUCGACAAAGCUCCUUGGAAGCAAAAGCUUCGAAAGCUCUCCACCGAGCGAAGCAAAGUCAUCAAGCAAGAUAUUGCCAAGCUCUCCCACGCCGGGCUCAUCCGAGAAGUUUGGCAUCCCCAAUGGUUAGCCAAUCCGGUCUUGGUGAAGAAAGCCAACGGUAAGUGACGAAUGUGUGUCGACUUCACCAACCUAAAAUAAGCAUGCCCCAAGGAUGACUACCCGCUCCCUCGGAUCGACCAACUAGUCGACUCCACGGCGGGUUGCGAAAGGUUGAGCUUCUUGGACGCCUAUUCAGGAUAUCACCAAGUCCACAUGUCCACGGAAGACGAGGAAGAGACUAGCUUCAUCACUCUCAUCGGCACCUUCUGCUAUCGUAGGAUGCCUUUUGGUUUGAGGAACGCCGGUGCAACUUUCCAACGCCUCGUCAGCCUCAUCCUCAAAGAACAAUUGGGGAGGAACGCCGAAGUAUACAUUGAUGACGCCGUCAUCAAAAGUCAAACUGCGAAGACCCAUCCCAAGGACCUACAAGAAACCUUCGAUAAUCUCCGCAAGUACGGCAUGAAGCUCAAUCCUGAGAAAUGCGCGUUCGGAGUUCAAGGAGGAAAACUCUCGGGCUUCCUUGUCUCUCAACGAGGGAUCGAGGCCAACCCGGAGAAAAUCCGGGCCAUCCUAGAGUUGGAGCCUUCUCGCUCUGUCAAAGAUGUGCAAGGCCUAGCAGGAAGAAUGGCGGCCUUGGGACGAUUCGUCGCCCGGUCAGCCGAGAAGGGUCUUUCUUUUUCAAAGCCUUGAGAAGCCUCGACAACUUUGAGUGGACCGACGAAGCUCAAAGGGCCAUCGAAGAGCUCAAGACCUAUUUGUCUUCUGACGAGCAAAAAGCAGGGGGAACCUUUGCUCCUAUACCUUGCCGCGACCCCAAUCACCGUAAGUGCAGCACUCGUGAAGGAAGAAAACGGGUCACAACGCUCGGUAUAUUACGUGAGCAAAGCUUUUGGUGGAGCAAAGGGUCGAUACACCCAGAUCGAGAAGAUCGUAUACACUCUCCUCAUGGCCUCUCGAAAACUCCGUCAUUACUUCAUGGGCAACACCAUCAUGGUGCCAACUACCUUCUGACGAAGAUGUAACUUUGACAAUGUCCAUAUUGAUGGACUUGUAUCAAGGAAAGAGGAGUCUGUGUAGGUGAACUCGUCGGCUAAAAGGGACACGGGGGACACGAUUUAUCCAGGUUCAGGGCCCUCGAUGAGGUAAUACCCCUACGUCCUGCUUGUCGGAUCUGUAUUGAUGAGUCGAUUACAAUGGGGUGCCGCAGAGUCUAGAUGCACCGAGUCGUCGAGUGCGUCUAGGCGAGUUGUAUCUAAGUUGGGGGUAUCUCCUUGGCUUCCCCUCCUGGUCCUUUAUAUAUGCAGGAACUCAGGUCUCAGGUAGAGUCCAAGUCGGUUACAAUGAGGAGAUACACUCUAAUUAACCUUCCUUGUCUUGAUUCGCAAGAUUUGGCAUGUAGACUCAUGGAGUCGAGGUAGGCUUCCUUGUGGGGCCCCAGCUGGGCUGUACCGGGUAUACUCGAGUCGAGUACGUGGUUAGUCAUAACCACGUCAGUAGCCCCUAGGUGCCUGGUUGAGUUGAAGACUCGACUAGCGACUUUCCCCGUAAAGAAUGAGCUUAUUCUGCUGUUGAGCCAGUUGCACAAUGCUGCAGACUUGGAAUUUCAUGUACUUCAAAUAAGAAGUAUUUUUGACUCAGAGAGUGUCUGAGCCGAUGCUUUAGUGCUUGACAGUUAAAUGACAGUUUCGCAAUAUGAGCUGAUAUUGAAUCAAUGCGGUGAAUAGGAGUCAUAGGGAUAUAUAUGCUUAAUGCGCCCAGAUACUCGAGAAGUCAAGUCGAGUUAAUCGCUCUAGGGCGAAAACAACAAUAGCUUUCAUCAACAUUCGAGUCCCCGGGCUCAAACCUGGUGAUUGGCGAAUUUUGACUUAGCCUGCUGGGUUCUUAUAGAGUCAAAUUCCAGUUUUUAAGUACUCGACUCGUUUGUCAAGAUUGCUUAAACUGGAAAUACGCAGCUAGUACGUUUCCAGGGCCUAUAGGAAGCCUAUGGGUCUUAUCUUCAUGUAAUGAACAUGGUUAUAAGGAGCGACCCUUAAGUGAAAGUUGUUAUUGGAGGGAUGCAGUCGAUGCAUAUCUAGGCCUAAUUUUUAGGACUUACCUUCAUACAAUGAGUAUGGAUUUGAUUGGAGAUAGCGUAGUUGGUACGAUCCCAGGCUCGUAAGAGAACUUUCGGGUCUUAUCUUCAUGCAAUGAGCAUGGAUUUACUGAAAUACGCAGCUGGUACGUUUUCAGGCUCGACAGAGAGAUCCAUGAGGCUUAUCUUCAUGCAAUGAGCAUGGAUUUUACUAGAGCAGCGCAGCUGGUGCGGCUCCAGUCUCUUUGGACGAAACCCAAGAGGCUCACUGUUAUGCGAAUGAGCAUAAACAACUGAGGUGACGCAGCUGGUGUGAUUCACUUGAGUCGAUUAUAUGAAAUCGACUAUUUUAUGUCAAGGUCAUUGCCCCGUUUUUGCUGUUAUGAAUAAAGAAUAAACAAUAGCUGACUGAAUGAAGUCUUUAGCUAGUUAUAAAGCAACAGCUAGUUAGCUUGCGACUCGAAUGAGAGUCUUAGUUUUCAUAUUCGAGACUCAAAAUGAGUUUCAACAUUUAAGAUAAACUCUGUCAUCCUGUAUGCAAAAUAAUUUUGAGUCAUGAUAUUCGAGUCAGACUCCAUCACUGAUGACGUACCUGUUGAAGGUGAAGAGCCGUUGGGUCAACAGAUGUGACCGGGCAAGACCAAGACCGCAGGCUCUAAGAACGAUGCCAACAAAGGAGAUGCCGGCAAGGGAGUUGUUCCAUGGCUCGCGGUGGCCGACAACCGCGUCAAGAUCCUGGAACUCCAGGAUGAGGGAAUUAAUGUUGCCGGGGGGCCCUGGCGGGGUUCGCUUCCCAGCAAAGGAGGAAUAACCGCGACCGUUGCUAGGUGAGCGGGUUGUCUUCCUCGAUUAUGUGCCGCGGGGGCUCUCUUUUCCCCUUCAUACCUUCUUCCGUGCUAUGCUGCUAGCCUAUGGGCUGCAGCUUCACAAUCUGCCCCCCAAUUCUUAUUUGCACGUUGCGUGCUUCAUCACACUGUGUGAAUGUUUCUUGGGGGUAAGCCCUCAUUGGGGGCUCUGGAAGCGGAUCUUUAUUAUCAAGGGCCAGAAGGCGGACGCCGUUGGGAGCGUCAACUUCUAGGUACGACCCGACGCCAAAUACUUCUCCCUCCAGCAGCGCAAAUCUGUGCAAGGCUGGAGGUCGAAGUGGUUCUACGUCCAGUCUGACGCCCCGGAUGCCGAUCCGAGUCUUCCUGCCUUCUCAAUCAAGAAGAAGGUAAAGAAGACGGCGGCAUGUUACCAUGAACUGACGCCUGUGGAGGAGUCUGAGGCGACUCCCCUGAUGGCUAAGCUUCACUCCCUUAUGGGACAGGGGUUGACAGGUGUUCACCUAAUAGCUCUGUUCCUCAAGAUGAGGAUCCAGCCACUGCAGGCCCGCGUUCACCCGAUGUGGUCCUUCGAAGGACCCAGGGAUCCCACUCGGGUGAAUGCGGAAGAACUAUCUCUGAGCGAGCUAGAGUUGCGGGUGCGAAGGUUAAUGAGCCUGAUCGAUGUGACUCCAGGCAAGAUCGACUCGCCAGUGGUCCCUUAUGGCCUUGACAGGCCAAGGGAAGAGGUAACUUGUAUGUCUGCCGUUGUGAGCUUAUAUUUGUAAGCUACAGAUCUGCUUGCUGGUUGCAGGGACUCGAAGACUCCUUGAGUCAACCUCCUCCUGCAGGGGAGGAGCUGGCUAACGAGCGCUCGGAGUCGCUAGAGCAAGCUAGCGAUUCCGAGACUGAAGAGGUUGCCUUGGAGACGAGGAGGAAGCGCAACAGGGAGUCGAACCCCAAGUCUGAUGAUCAGUCGACGGGUGUCGAGGGUCCACCCGCUGCGACCUAGUCUCCUUCUCCUGCAGCAAAAAAGACCAAGACAGGCGGCCCCGCACUUGUCCGCCGAUUUGGCCUUCUUGGCCGAGUCACCUAGGCCAGGUAGGUGAUUCUUCAUGCAUUAGCUAAAUGGUGUAAUCUGAAUACUGAACUAGCUGUUUUCCUUUGCUAGCUCUGUGGCCUCUAGUGAUCAACCAACAACCCAGGCUAUUGAGCCCACUGGGUCGGACCCGAAAGCUUCGGGUCCCUCGAUCGUCGUCGAGACGUUCGAGCCUCAGGCAUCGAUGCUUGAGGAACCUUCUUCAGUGAGUGGGGAGCGUCAACCCCAAAGGUUGUCCCGUUCUUCGACUCACUUGUAGAAGCAUGGAGCCGAAGCGGCUUCCUCGACUUCGGCUAGUCAAGUAAGUCUUGAGUCCUUUUUGUCAAGUAAACUUCUUUUGUUAAUGAAUUUUGCGCUCCCGGUGGGAGUAUGAGUCAGAUGUUGACGUAAUCACUGCCGCAGCCGAUCAUCUGCUCCAUAACGGAGUUUGUUGAUCGCUAUGACGCGGUGACGGCUGAGCGAGAUCAGCUUCACCAAGAGUUAGAGCGAAGCCAGCAAGAGCUGAGGUCUGCUCAAGGUAAUGCCUCUAGUUUAGUCUUUCUUUGAGUUGAAAAACUAUUGUGUCUUACUAUUUUGUCGUCUAGACCUCCUUUCUCAGGCUAACUCCCAAAAAGAGGCGGCCGAGCUUCAAUCCAAGAACUUGGAGAAGAAGCCUGCUGAUCUCGCCAGGGAGUCGACAGAGAAGCUGGAGGCUGAAAAACGCCUCGCCCAAGAAGCUUCGGGCGCCCUUCUUGCUAAGGAGGCCGAGAAGGAGAAGACGAGAACCGUCCAACUCCAAGGAGUCAUUGGUCCCCUCGCGGGUAAGAACAUCGUUGUUGAAUCCAUUCCUUUGAAUAUAUUGUUAACGCUUUGGCUCAUUUGCAGGCCUGCUUUUCCUUGUCUGGUCUUCUACCUUCAAGUGAAAGUUCACUCGACACGGUGAUUGACGCUGCGGCAAGCGUUUGCUCUAGAGCAGCAACUGGAGUCCAGGGAGCCUCCCGGGUGCUCACCGGUUUGUUCGGGAAAAUGUUUCCUGAUGAGCCGGUACCUGAGUCGCUAGGGAAACUCGUAGAGCUUUUCAGCGCUGACCCGGACCCUCUGGACAAGUUUAGCCGGGUUCAGACCAACUCCAGUGCAGAGUCGACGUUCGUACUAGCGCUAGCACACGGCGUCGGUGAAGACGUGUUGCGGAGGGUGGCUUCGGGCAUUCCUUUGCUACCCAGCGGGAGGAGGUGGCUUUGACGCCUUACUUCCAGCUUGGGGAAGAACUGGCGGCCUAGCUGUCGGCUCAGCUGGAGAGCAUGGCGUCUGAGGGAGGAGCGGCUCCACCAUUGUCGACUCCUGCGCCGAGCCAGGAGGUGGGCCCAGCUUGAGGCUUAGACUUCUUUAGGCUUUCACCUGUAUUCCUCUCUUUUUUUUGUAUCGUUCUUGCUCGUAUGCGAGCAAUAUUAAUAAAGAAACAUCCUUGUUCCUUUGCACUGAUAUGAGUCGGACUCCUUACUUUUAGUUAAGACUCGUGUCUUUGAAUCCUCUCCGGGACUGAAAAAGGGGGUAUUUCUCUUCUGGAGCGACAGAGAGAACCCGCAACUUCGACAGUUGAGGUAGACACAGAGAAGGUUGUGACACCCGAGCCGAAUAACGCGAGAGCCGCGGUCUCGGCUGAGAUGCUUGCUCCGGAGAUCGCGGAGUCGACGGCUCCAAAGGAGGUUCCUUCCCUGGACAAGACUCGAGGUGAACUAGAGUGUAACAUCCCAAAAAUUCAAACUCUUUCAUAUGCAUUGCAUUCAUGAGCAUCAUGCCACAUUUGCAUGUUUGAAUCAAAAUUUGAAUUACAAAAGUCUUUGAAAAGGUUUUAUUUCAUUUUAAAACCCUAGUAUUUCACCCAUUUGAGCUUUGGAUCUUUAGACCAUUAGGGUUCAUCUAUAAAAGGGGUUUAUUGCAUAAAUAAGCUAUCCCAUAAUUUUUGGAUAUUUAUUUGGAGUUGAAAAAACUAUUUUAGUUAAAUAGUUAUGAAGCCCUAAAGACAUUUAUAGGGCAAAUGUAUUUUUAUAUAUUUUCUUUGGAAGGGAAAUUAGUCCCAAAAGUUGAAUCGUGUUAUAACAUAUGAUUUUACAAAUUUUCUGGAAUUUAUUUGGAUCAAUUUGGAGUUCAAAAUCAAAAGAUAUCAAAGAAAUCAGAAAAAGAAAAAAAAGAAAAGAACAAAAAAAAAGAGAAAACCGGACCGGCCCCGUCCCGCGCAAACCGACCGAGGCGGCCCGCAGCGCGCGCGCCUGCACGAGUCACCGAUAGGUGGGCCCCACCUGUCGGGGUCGUCUUCCCCGAAGGAAAGAGCCGCGCGUCACGUCGCCGCAUCCGCGCCGCCAUCCCCGGCCAAAUCUUCGCCACGUCGUCUCCUCCGUGCACCCCGCGCCCUGCCGCCCGCGUCCCUAUAAAGCCCGAAGCUUGCGCAUCCCUUUCCCCCUCCCCUCUUCGUCAAUUACGCGCCCACGCUGCCCUGAUUUCACGCCGGAGUUCGCCACUGCCGCCGCCUAAACGAGCUCGCCGCCGGUGACCUGGUGAGUGAAGCUCGUCGCCGCUUGUUCCUUCGUGUUCCCCUCUCCCUCGCGCAUCUUUUGACAUGCUCCAACCUCCGUUUGGUGCACUGCAGCUCGCCGACGACGUCAACCCGAAGCUCCGCCGCCGCCGCGUCUCCGCCGUCCUAGGCGUCACCUCCUGCCGCCCCAAAGCGAACCGACGCCGUCAUCCGCUCCGCCUCGUCGAGCCGCACCUCCCGCACGCUUCCCCGAGCGGAAACCCCGCCGGAACCCUCGUUGGAAACCUAGCGCCGCCGGUAAGCCCCAUGAUCGAUCUCGUUUGUCCGAUCUUCAUCAACGGCUAGGAUUAGAUCCUUCAAAUCGAAGGGGUACGGUUAGAUCUCAGCCGUCCAAUCCGUUUAAGUGAGAUCCAACGGCUGCGUUUUAUUUUAAAUCCCGAACAGGUACCGGCCAAUCACAGCGCAACAUGUGUCCCCUAUUAAAAUGAAAACUUAAUCCCGGUUUAAAUUAAAUGGCAGUUUUGCAGAAAAUCGCCUAAAACUUCAUAUGCUCAUAUCUUUUAAACCACUACGACAAAUGUGAUAAAUUUACCUUUCUGGAAAGCUCUUGACCUGUAGAAUAUUUUAGCAUAUUUUAAAUUUAAAUUUGAAUAACUUAACCACAGUCAAUUUACAGAAAGGCCUUUAAUGCCAUUUAAAUCAUAUCUUUUUAUUUAGAAAUCCUUCCUAAUUGAAACCAGUGCCCAAAAUUUUUUUGUAUUGUCCUCUGUCCAUUGGGAAAGAUAAAUAAUUUUUUUGAAUUAAAUUAAUUGGCUGAUGCCAAUAAAACCUUUUUUAUGGUUUUAAUCCCUUGUUUUCUUUUGUAUUUUGUUUUUAACCUAGUGCAUUAACUUUAAAUUGCUAAUACUUUGGACCAGGUUUAUGAUCUGGUUGAUCACCCAAAUAAAAUCAACCCUAUCUUGUCACAUGUUUUGCAUUGCAUCAUAGCAUACCUUCUUUUGUCGUGAUGUGAGUUGUGUGUUGCACUACUUUUUAUUAGUUGCAUUGUUAGGAUUAUUAUUGUACCUAUGCUAGCUAUGAUUCUCCUAGUAGU